GAUGAACGCUGGCGGCGUGCCUAAUACAUGCAAGUCGAGCGAACAGACGAGGAGCUUGCUCCUCUGACGUUAGCGGCGGACGGGUGAGUAACACGUGGAUAACCUACCUAUAAGACUGGGAUAACUUCGGGAAACCGGAGCUAAUACCGGAUAAUAUAUUGAACCUCAUGGUUCAAUAGUGAAAGACGGUUUUGCUGUCACUUAUAGAUGGAUCCGCGCCGCAUUAGCUAGUUGGUAAGGUAACGGCUUACCAAGGCAACGAUGCGUAGCCGACCUGAGAGGGUGAUCGGCCACACUGGAACUGAGACACGGUCCAGACUCCUACGGGAGGCAGCAGUAGGGAAUCUUCCGCAAAGGGCGAAAGCUUGACGGAGCAACGCCGCGUGAGUGAUGAAGGUCUUCGGAUCGUAAAACUCUGUUAUUAGGGAAGAACAAAUGUGUAAGUAACUAUGCACGUCUUGACGGUACCUAAUCAGAAAGCCACGGCUAACUACGUG
rnacentral:rRNA from 1 species